rnacentral:rRNA from 1 species
CCUACGGGUGGCAGCAGUGGGGAAUAUUGCACAAUGGGGGAAACCCUGAUGCAGCGACGCCGCGUGAGGGAUGAAGUAUUUCGGUAUGUUAAGCUCUAUCAGCAGGGGAGAAAAUGACGGUACCUGACUAAGAAGCCCCGGCUAACUACGUGCCAGCAGGCGCGGUAAUCAGUAGGGGGCAAGCGUUAUCCGGAUUUACUGGGUGUAAAGGGAGCGUAGACGGCUUGGCAAGCCCGGUGGGAAAGGCUGGGGCUCAACCCCAGGACUGCAUUUGGAACUGUCAUGCUAGAGUGUCGGAGAGGCAGGCGGAAUAACUAGUGUAGCGGUGAAAUGCGUAGAUAUUAGGAGGAACACCAGUGGCGAAGGCGGCCUGCUGGACGAUGACUGACGUUGAGGCUCGAAAGCGUGGGGAGCAAACAGGAUUAGAUACCCCGGUAGUC